rnacentral:rRNA from 1 species
UACAGAGGGGGCAAGCGUUGUUCGGAAUUACUGGGCGUAAAGGGCGCGUAGGCGGCCCGCUAAGUCGAACGUGAAAUCCCCGAGCUCAACUCGGGAACUGCGUCCGAUACUGGCGGGCUUGAAUCCGGGAGAGGGAUGCGGAAUUCCAGGUGUAGCGGUGAAAUGCGUAGAUAUCUGGAGGAACACCGGCGGCGAAGGCGGCAUCCUGGACCGGCAUUGACGCUGAGGCGCGAAAGCUAGGGGAGCAAACGGG